CGGGGGGCUGCAGUGGGGAAUAUUGCGCAAUGGGGGAAACCCUGACGCAGCAAUACCGCGUGAGUGAAGAAGGUUUUCGGAUCGUAAAGCUCUGUUAUUGGGGAAGAAAAAAAGACGGUACCCAAGAAGAAAGUCCCGGCUAACUACGUGCCAGCAGCCGCGGUAAUACGUAGGGGACAAGCGUUGUCCGGAUUUACUGGGCGUAAAGGGCACGCAGGCGGUUUUUUAAGUCAGAUGUGAAAGGUACCGGCUCAACCGGUGACAUGCAUUUGAAACUGAAAGACUUGAGUAUUGGAGAGGCAAGUGGAAUUCCUAGUGUAGCGGUGAAAUGCGUAGAUAUUAGGAGGAACACCGGUGGCGAAGGCGGCUUGCUGGACAAAUACUGACGCUGAGGUGCGAAAGCGUGGGGAGCAAACAGGAUUAGAUACCCCAGUAGUC
rnacentral:rRNA from 1 species